AUGACUCUCUCUGAAAAGGUUAUUCAAAUGGGCCUAGAAUCAGACUGCACACCUCAAACCUUACAUGAUCAAUAAUGACAGGCAGAAACAACCUGACCCUGGUCCUGUGUGAAAGAGGAAAUCCAUUCAAACCAAAAGUUAAUCAAGAGGAAGUGUUCAGGUUCUGAAUAUGAGUGCGUGGGUCUUUAGAAACCAGCUUGCAUGUGAGGAAGAGCGCACGGGAGAUCAUAGGUAUAUUUACACUUUACCACUUACUUAAAGCUCCGACAUUUCCAAAAGUCAAAAACUGGAAUAGACCAGGCAUAAUAGGAUCAUUAUACAAAAUGAAAUUCUUCUGUGCUCUCUGGCUUUGGAUGUUUCUGUCAGGUUUUGUCAAAGCAUCUGGUCCAGCUGGUGAAAAAGCAGGUGCUGAACACAGCAACUCAUCCUCACCUGCAGAUAUAUUCCCAGUGCCUUUACACUAUAUUCUUUACGCUGCUGCUGGUUUGGCCAUCAUGGUGAUCAUAUGUGCAAUUGGACUAAUGACUGUUUGUCUGUGCAGAACAAGAGUCAAGAAAUCAAGAUGCGUUAUUGCAAGAUCUAUUUACAAUCCCCAUCACAGCGAGGAGGAUAAUGCUGUUUAUCAGAACGCUCCUGAUGACAAACAAUAUGCCACCAUUAAUAAAUCCAGGACCAAGAAUAAGGACAAGAGCCAGUCGGACCCAAUCUAUCAGAACUUACACUUCAACACUACACAAGAUGAAACUAUCUAUGGCAAUCUAUAGGAAAUAUACAGUCUACUAUCCUCAAUUGCAAAUACAUGUUCUGUAUGACAAACAUUGAACAAGUCUGUCUGGACCAUUUUUCCGGACAUCAACACCAUUUCUGAAUAGUAUAUGGCAAAAAUCAAAUGUACAGAACAAGAUUCAAAAACAUGGCACUUGGUGAUAUAAUCACACCAUUAUUUGUGUAAAUAAAUAUCCAGUUUGCAUGUAAAGUUUGCUUGUGAAACAACAAUAAAGGGUUGAAAUACUAAUGGGUUGUUUCAUAUUAAAUGGACAAAUGUGUGUAGGGCUAUUCAAUUAUUUUGCAAAUACAACUAACUGUUCCUUUAAUGAAUCCUUAGCCUGCAGAUAGUGUAAAAACUGAAUAUGAGUAUGUGAAAACACUGAAAUGUGAACCUAGUCUUCAUGAAUCAGACUUACCUGUGCAGACUGUUUUAAGCUCUGUACUCAGGCCACACACCAGUUUGAACAAUCUGUCUUUGUUUUCUCUAAAUCAUCCAGAUAAAGAAUACAUUGAAGUAAUGCACCUGUUUAACCUGUACUUGUAUCUCUUGCACUUACCACAUCAUGAUAAUAAAACUGAUCAACCAGAAAUAUGUUUCUGCCAGAGCUGUUCAAUCUAAAGACUCAUGCACUGAAUUGAAGCAGUUCCUGAGUUUAAAACAAGAAGACUCUAAAUUAGUUUUGUGUGUACAUCAUCCUCUCACCCCAUAUUAGUUGUUAUCCAGAUCUUGAUUGGGUGUAGCACAUUGUUACUCAACAUGACUUCCUGAUACAUCCUUACUAUCUAUAAAGUGAUAUGACCCAAAAUGAUUUGUCGAAGGAGCAAUACUCAUUGAGUAGGGCUUAAGUUAUGGUUAAGUAUUAUUAGCUAGUUACUGUAAUGUAUGCUAGACCAGACUCUUUUCAUCAGGCUUCAUGCAGGUCUCCUCCAUCAUGGCAACAAUAACAGCAGAUUAUAUCAAUC
ensembl:lncRNA